GCAGGCUGAAAUUCGCCUGCAUGAAGCCGGAAUUGCUAGUAAUGGCAGGUCAGCAUACUGCCGUGAAUACGUUCCCGGGCCUUGUACACACCGCCCGUCACACCAUGAGAGUUGGGGAUACCCGAAGCCUGUGAGCCAACAGUUAAAUGAGGCAGCAGUCGAAGGUAGAAUCAAUGAUUGGGGUGAAGUCGUAACAAGGUAGC
rnacentral:rRNA from 1 species